rnacentral:snRNA from 1 species
CGCUUUGCGCAGUGGCAGUAUCUUAGCCAUUGAGGUUUAUCUGAGGCGCGAUUAUUGCAACUUUUGAGUAAAUACCAAAAUAU